UACGUAGGGUGCAAGCGUUGUCCGGAAUUAUUGGGCGUAAAGAGCUCGUAGGCGGUUUGUCACGUCGGAUGUGAAAAUCCAGGGCUCAACCCUGGACCUGCAUUCGAUACGGGCAGACUAGAAUUCGGUAGGGGAGUCUGGAAUUCCUGGUGUAGCGGUGAAAUGCGCAGAUAUCAGGAGGAACACCGGUGGCGAAGGCGGGACUCUGGGCCGAUAUUGACGCUGAGGAGCGAAAGCGUGGGGAGCGAACAGG
rnacentral:rRNA from 1 species